GGAGGUGAACCCCAAAUGCUGCUGGUGCCUGGGGGGGACUGGGACCGACGGGAGGGGACACGGACUGUGGCACUGGGAUGGACUGGUGGCACUGGGAUGGGACUGGUGGCACCGGGAUUGCACUGGUGGCACUGGGAUGUACUGGUGGCACUGGGAUGGGAUUGGUGGCACUGGGACAGGGCGGUGGCAGUGGUGUCACUGCCUGGUGUCACUGCCCGGUGUCACCCCUGCUGUCACUCACCGCUUGGUGUCACCCCGUGUCACCCCGUGUCGCUCACUGCCCGUGUCACCCCGUGUCACUCCCCGCUCGGUGUCACCCCGUGUCACUCACGGCUCGGUGUCACCCCGUGUCACCCCGUGUCACCCCGUGUCACUCACCGCUCGGUGAAGGCCGCCAGGAAGUCUCCGGCCGGGCAGGAGCCGGGGUGUGCCGGGUGACCCCGCGGUGACACCAUCAGCGCCCCGUCGGUGCCAUCGUAGCGCAGGUGCAGGAACGGCUCGGUGACAAUCUGCUCGCUGGGGACACGCGGUGGCGUUGUCACUGUCACCGUGUCACUGUCACUGUGUCACUGUGUCAUUGUCACUAUCACUGUCACAGUCACUGUGUCACUGUCAGUGUGUCACUGCAUCACUGUCACUGUGUCACUGUCACUGCGUCACUGUGUCAUUGUCACUGUCAUUGUGUCACUGUCACCGUCUCAUUGUCAGUGUGUCACUGUGUCACUGUCACUGUGUCACUGUCAUCCUGUCAGUGUCCGUGUGUCAUUGUCAGUGUGUCACCGUGUCACGGUCAGUGUGUCACUGUGUCACUGUCACCGUGUCACUGUCACCAUGUCACUGUCAGUGUGUCACUGUGUCACUGUCACUCUCUGUGUGCCACUGUGUCACCCUACCCUUGUGUCACCCUGUCCCCAGUGUCACUAUCAGUGCACCAUCCUGCCACCACACCAUCGUGUCGCUGUCGUGUCACACUGUCACCCUGCCGCCCUGCCUUCACACUCACUGCCACCACGUCGCUGUGUCACCGUGUCCCCAGUGCCACCCUGUCCCUGUGUCACCAUCACCGCGCCACCCUGUCCCCUGUGCCUGUGUCCCCGUGUCCCCGUGUCCCCGUGUCCCCUGUCCCCAUCCCCCAGAGUCCCCUGUCCCUGUCCCGCCCUGCCCGGCUCUCCCUCCCGCCCCUUCCCUGCGACUAUCGCCCCUAUCGCCCCUAUCACCCCUAUCGCCGCUAUCGCCCCUAUCGCCGCUAUCGUCCCUAUCUCCUAUCGCUGCUCUCUCUGCCCUCGCCGUUAUCGCUGUUAUCGCCCCUAUCGCUGCUGUCUCUCCCUUCGCCCCUAUCACCGCUAUCUCUGCUGUCUCUGCCAUCGCCCCUAUCGCCCCUAUCGCCGAUAUCUCUCCUAUCGCUGCUCUCUCUGCCAUCGCCGUUAUCGCCACUAUCUCUCCUAUCGCCGCUGUCUCUGCCAUCGCCGCUAUCUCUCCUAUCGCCGCUAUCGCCCCUAUCGCCGCUGUCGCCGCUAUCGCCGUUAUCUCUGCUGUCUCUGCCAUCGCCGGGGGGGGGGGGGGGGGGGGGGGGGGGGGGGGGGGGGGGGGG
rnacentral:lncRNA from 12 species